AUACGUAGGGUGCAAGCGUUAAUCGGAAUUACUGGGCGUAAAGCGUGCGCAGGCGGUUUUGUAAGACAGUGGUGAAAUCCCCGGGCUCAACCUGGGAACUGCCAUUGUGACUGCAAGGCUGGAGUGCGGCAGAGGGGGAUGGAAUUCCGCGUGUAGCAGUGAAAUGCGUAGAUAUGCGGAGGAACACCGAUGGCGAAGGCAAUCCCCUGGGCCUGCACUGACGCUCAUGCACGAAAGCGUGGGGAGCAAACAGGAUUAGAUACCCUGGUAGUCCACGCCCUAAACGAUGUCAACUGGUUGUUGGGGAUUUAUUUUCUCAGUAACGAAGCUAACGCGCGAAGUUGACCGCCUGGGGAGUACGGCCGAAAGGUUAAAACUCAAAGGAAUUGACGGG
rnacentral:rRNA from 1 species